AUUGAACGCUGGCGGCAUGCCUUACACAUGCAAGUCGAACGGCAGCACGGGUGCUUGCACCUGGUGGCGAGUGGCGAACGGGUGAGUAAUACAUCGGAACGUACCUUAUCGUGGGGGAUAACGCAGCGAAAGCUGUGCUAAUACCGCAUACGCACUGAGGGCGAAAGCGGGGGAGCGAAAGACCUCGCGCUAUUAGAGCGGCCGAUGCCUGAUUAGCUUGUUGGUGGGGUAAAAGCCCACCAAGGCGACGAUCAGUAGCUGGUCUGAGAGGACGAUCAGCCACACUGGGACUGAGACACGGCCCAGACUCCUACGGGAGGCAGCAGUGGGGAAUUUUGGACAAUGGGGGCAACCCUGAUCCAGCAAUGCCGCGUGAGUGAAGAAGGCCUUCGGGUUGUAAAGCUCUUUUGUCAGGGAAGAAACACCGGCUCUAACACAGUCCGGGAAUGACGGUACCUGAAGAAUAAGCACCGGCUAACUACGUGCCAGCCGCCGCCGUAA
rnacentral:rRNA from 1 species